rnacentral:rRNA from 1 species
AGGGCACCACCAGGAGUGGAGCCUGCGGCUUAAUUUGACUCAACACGGGGAAACUCACCCGGCCCGGACACCGUAAGGAUUGACAGAUUGAUAGCUUUUUCAUGAUUCGGUGGAUGGUGGUGCAUGGCCGUUCUUAGUUCGUGGAGCGAUUUGUCUGGUUUAUUCCGAUAGCGAGCGAGACUCUAGCCUACUAAAUAGUUCGCACAUUGUCUCUGUGUGUGUGACUUCUUAGAGGGAUUUUCGGUGUUCAGCCGCACGAAAUUGAGCAAUAACAGGUCUGUGAUGCCCUUAGAUGCCCGGGGCUGCACGCGCGCUACACUGGCAAAAUCAGCGUGCUUGUCCUUCCCCGAAAGGGGUUGGUAAACCCUUGAAAAUUGCCGUGAUUGGGAUUGGAAAUUGCAAUUAUUUUCCAUGAACGAGGAAUUCCAAGUAAGUGCGAGUCAUCAGCUCGAGGUGAUUACGGCCCUGCCCUUUGUACACACCGACCGGUCGCUGCCCGGGACUGAGCGUUUCGAGAAC